rnacentral:rRNA from 1 species
UCAAGUAAUUAAGUGCAUGUGGUGGAUGCCUUGGCAGUCAGAGGCGAUGAAAGACGUAAUAGCCUGCGAUAAGCUCCGGGGAGGCGGCAAAUAUCCUAUGAUCCGGAGAUUUCUGAAUGGGGGAACCCACUUACCAUAAGGUAGGUAUCAAUAACUGAAUACAUAGGUUGUUGAGGCGAACGAGGGGAAGUGAAACAUCUCAGUACCCUUAGGAAAAGAAAUCAAUUGAGAUUCCGUCAGUAGCGGCGAGCGAACGCGGAUCAGCCCAUUAAGUUAUCUAAGUUUUAGUGGAACACUCUGGGAAGUGUGACUAUAAAGGGUGAUAGUCCCGUACACGAAAGGGCUUAGAUAAUGAUAUCGAGUAGGGCGAGGCACGUGAAACCUUGUCUGAAUAUGGGGGGACCAUCCUCCAAGGCUAAAUACUCCUGACUGACCGAUAGUGAACCAGUACCGUGAGGGAAAGGCGAAAAGAACCCCUGUGAGGGGAGUGAAAUAGAUCCUGAAACCGCAUGCAUACAAGCAGUGGGAGCAUAUUUAUUAUGUGACUGCGUACCUUUUGUAUAAUGGGUCAGCGACUUAUAUUCAGUAGCGAGGUUAACCGUAUAGGGGAGCCGUAGAGAAAUCGAGUCUUAAUAGGGCGUUUAGUUGCUGGGUAUAGACCCGAAACCAGGCGAUCUAUCCAUGAGCAGGUUGAAGGUUGGGUAACACUAACUGGAGGACCGAACCCACUGUCGUUGAAAAGCCAGGGGAUGACUUGUGGAUAGGGGUGAAAGGCUAAUCAAGCCUGGUGAUAGCUGGUUCUCCCCGAAAGCUAUUUAGGUAGCGCCUCGGACGAAUACCAUAGGGGGUAGAGCACUGUUUCGGCUAGGGGGUCAUCCCGACUUACCAAACCGAUGCAAACUCCGAAUACCUAUGAGUACUAUCCGGGAGACAGACUGCGGGUGCUAACGUCCGUAGUCAAGAGGAAAACAAUCCAGACCGCCAGCUAAGGCCCCAAAAUCAUAGUUAAGUGGGAAACGAUGUGGGAAGGCAUAGACAGCUAGGAGGUUGGCUUAGAAGCAGCCAUAAUUUAAAGAAAGCGUAAUAGCUCACUAGUCGAGUCGGCCUGCGCGGAAGAUGUAACGGGGCUAAAACUAUGUGCCGAAGCUGCGGAUUUACGCAUUAGCGUAAGUGGUAGGGGAGCGUUCUGUAAGCCGAUGAAGGUGUGUUGAGAAGCAUGCUGGAGGUAUCAGAAGUGCGAAUGCUGACGUGAGUAACGAUAAAACGGGUGAAAAACCCGUUCGCCGAAAGACCAAGGGUUCCAGUCCAACGUUAAUCGGGGCUGGGUGAGUCGACCCCUAAGGCGAGGCCGAAAGGCGUAGUCGAUGGGAAAAUGGUUAAUAUUCCAUUACUUCUGUGUAAUGCGAUGAGAGGACGGAGAAGGUUAAGUCAGCCUGGCGUUGGUUGUCCAGGUGGAAGACAGUAGGCAUGCAUCUUAGGCAAAUCCGGGGUGCUCUAUGCUGAGAGUCGAUAGCAAGUAGGUUUACCUACGAAGUGGCUGAUACCAUACUUCCAAGAAAAGUCUCUAAGCUUCAGUUACACAGGAAUCGUACCCGAAACCGACACAGGUGGUCAGGUCGAGUAGACCAAGGCGCUUGAGAGAACUCUGCUGAAGGAACUAGGCAAAAUGGUACCGUAACUUCGGGAGAAGGUACGCUGCUGAUGGUGAUGGAACUUGCUUCCUGAGCUGUCGGCAGCCUCAGAAACCAGGCCGCUGCAACUGUUUAUUAAAAACAUAGCACUCUGCAAACACGAAAGUGGACGUAUAGGGUGUGAUGCCUGCCCGGUGCUGGAAGGUUAAUUGAUGGGGUUAGCGUAAGCGAAGCUCUUGAUCGAAGCCCCAGUAAACGGCGGCCGUAACUAUAACGGUCCUAAGGUAGCGAAAUUCCUUGUCGGGUAAGUUCCGACCUGCACGAAUGGCAUAAUGAUGGCGGCGCUGUCUCCAGCAGAGGCUCAGUGAAAU